rnacentral:rRNA from 1 species
UACGUAGGGCGCAAGCGUUAUCCGGAAUUAUUGGGCGUAAAGAGCUCGUAGGCGGUUUGUCGCGUCUGCCGUGAAAGUCGGGGGCUCAACCCUCGGAUGCCGGUGGAUACUGUCGGGCUAGAGUGCGGAAGAGGCGAGUGGAAUUCCUGGUGUAGCGGUGAAAUGCGCAGAUAUCAGGAGGAACACCGGUGGCGAAGGCGGGUCUCUGGGCAGUAACUGACGCUGAGGAGCGAAAGCAUGGGGAGCGAACAGG